rnacentral:lncRNA from 1 species
AAUAUUGAAAUUGAUAUGCAUAAUUAGAUUCAUUUUGUUCCAGAACAGAAAGUGUUGGGUUUUCUCUCCCUUCUUUUUCAGGCAACUGAUUAAGCUUUUCAUUAAUACCAUUAUCAGAUUAUUUUAUAGCUUGCUUAACUGACAACGAGCUUUUCCUGCAGUGGCUCAACUAUCCAAAAUAGACAAAUGUUUAACAUCAUUUGUGAACAUCCAGAGACAGUUGCUAGAACACUAGUACCAAGGAUGCGGGUUGUAAAAGGAAGUGGAAGAGCCAUCAAUUGUGUGACUCCACCAAGGAUCUUAAUUGCCUUAGUAACCACAUGGUUGAGAUGGGGCCGAUGGUUUGAUGAUUUGACUCCGCCAAGGAUCUUAAUUGCCUUGGUAACCGCAUGGUUGAGACGGGGCCGAUGGUUUGAUGAU